UCGAUUCGUCAGCACAUGCAGUCGAGCGAGACAGAUGCGGUAGACUUGCUCCCUGAUGUUAGCGGCGGACGGGUGAGUAACACGUGGGUAACCUGCCUGUAAGACUGGGAUAACUCCGGGAAACCGGGGCUAAUACCGGAUGGUUGUUUGAACCGCAUGGUUCAGACAUAAAAGGUGGCUUCGGCUACCACUUACAGAUGGACCCGCGGCGCAUUAGCUAGUUGGUGAGGUAACGGCUCACCAAGGCAACGAUGCGUAGCCGACCUGAGAGGGUGAUCGGCCACACUGGGACUGAGACACGGCCCAGACUCCUACGGGAGGCAGCAGUAGGGAAUCUUCCGCAAUGGACGAAAGUCUGACGGAGCAACGCCGCGUGAGUGAUGAAGGUUUUCGGAUCGUAAAGCUCUGUUGUUAGGGAAGAACAAGUGCCGUUCAAAUAGGGCGGCACCUUGACGGUACCUAACCAGAAAGC
rnacentral:rRNA from 1 species